UGUGAUACCUUUCCAUACCCAUCAUAAGUCUCACAACUGAUGCUGUCAUAACAACAACAACAAAAAGGUUAACAAGAGAAAAGCGUAACAAUUUUAUUAAAUCAAGUUUUUACAUGAUUUUGGGAGGCUUCAGAAAUAAAGACCCAAAGACCCAGGGAAAAUUAUCCAUUUUUAUGCUUAGAUUCGAUGAAAAAUUGACAGCUGAGUGGAGAUGUGAUUGGACAAAAGGGUAUGAUCUAAUGGUAAUGGACUGAGAAGGAGAUCUAGCCGGACUUGUUUGUUCAGAUUCUUCUUGGCUUCUCUACGUGGCAUUCCUUCCUCCUAGUGUGGGGCAGAACCCCUCUGAAACGAUAGAAGGAAGAAAGGAGAGAGAGACACCUUUCUAAACUUUUAAGAAAACUUCUUUUUCUAUCUAUAAGCCAGGAGAAGCAUGGAAAUGAUAUGAAUUGAUGAAAAAGGAAGAUACUGGAGCUCCUUUAAAGAAUGCUGUCACGCCAUAAGUGGAAGUACUGUGGUAGAAGAGAGACUAUAAAAUAUUGAUGGACUAUUGACCUGAGGUAGCAAAGGAAGAUAAAAGCAAAUUCUCUGAGUGCACAAAGAAGCUACCCGUCUCCAUAGUGUGGAAAAGAACUUCAAUAUUAACAUCAAUAAUGAGUUAUCGUUGUCUGAAAUACAUUUUUCUUGUUACCAUAUCAGAAUUGUAUUCAUUUCAGUUUCAGAGAAAAAAAACAUAUUUUUUUAAAUUUCAUAAUUAUGUUUUCUGUUGCAUAAGAACAGUUCACGUGGAGAGGUGCUUCGAAAUAUACAUCUUAUUAUCAUUAAAUCCUAGCCAUUGUGGCUAUCUUCAUAAGACAGUCCAACAGUUGAGCUGUUUGGGAGUUUAUUUGCUUGGUGUCUUGAUUUUAAGUUAUUAAAAAGUUGUACCUGCCCAAA
rnacentral:lncRNA from 1 species